CGCACACCUCUCCUCUGCACCUGAACGAGGCAAUAGUACAUACAUAGCCUAUAUCUGUCUUCAGGUUUAUUUUAAGGGUGAUUUUUUCCAUUGAAAGAAGUGUACUGUACUUAAUCUUCCACUCCACUCUUUGUGUUGCGCUCAUUGCAGUCAGAAAACAUAUGUUUGCCGAUCAAAACCCUUGCAGGUGAUGUUGCUUUCUCUCCCCAAAUCGUACGGGAAAAUAACGGAAGACUCACCCAAGAUCAGUAAUGUACAUCUGCAACUUCAAGCCAACGUAAUGCGGAGCGCGUUCCAGCUCGUCAACACAAUCGGCUGCAGGGGAGAAUCUGUGUAAUUUGACCUACAGCACAAGUGCGCAUCAUGACUUCAACUAAGAAGGCAACUUGGAACGUACCCGAUCCUCCCAUGCGAUCAUUCUCUUUCCCGGUUGAACCCCCGAUAUCCCCCACCACCCAGGGGACCAGCUUCUCCCCCAUCCUCAACCAGGUUGAACACCCAAUAUCCCCCACCACCCAGGAGACCAGCCACACCCUCAUCCUCAACCAGGGUAAACCCCUGAUAUCCCCCACCACCCAGGAGACCAGCUUCACCCACACCAAACCAAAGAAGACGGGGAGAAAGUCCUGUCUCCCUGUCACCCUCAAAAAACCCUCCAACUCGCUGAGCAUGACACAGUCAACCCCAUCCAACCCCAUCCUACCCCGACCAAGGAAGAGGAAAUAUGACUACAUGCAUAAAGUGUCCAGUGCAUCCGGGGCAAACGAUUUUCCCUAUUCUCAAGAUUCUUGCCAAUAGACCUUCAAAGGAGGGUCAGGAGCAGAAAGUGAGGUGGAAGCCAUGCUCUGGAUGAAAGAUGUUUGUUUCUGUCUGCGCGAUGCGUGGAGAAACCAGCUGGCUG
ensembl:lncRNA